rnacentral:ncRNA from 2 species
UGGUUAUAAAGAAGAGCGGAGAGAUCGGGCUCAAUGAAACUCUGGCAACCAUUCACCAACUGGCGAAAAAGGUGCCAAUACCCGGCCGGCAACGGAAUUAUAAUUU